rnacentral:lncRNA from 1 species
AACAUUUUAAACCAUUUUAGAAUAAGGAUGUAAUGGAACAAAAUGUGGAAAAAGUCAAGGGGUCUGAAUACUUCCCGAAGACACUGAAUUGAAGAGGGCAGUCCAUAAGUGCAGACAAAGGACAUCUGAUGUCCUGUCCUUUAUCUAUUGUCCCAGGAACUGUGGAGAGUCCUUCUUGAGAGCAUCAUUAUUUAACCAGUGCACAGGAUGACUGCCUGCCUCUAUCCUUUCACGAUUGAGUUUGGAUUGGAUCACAAACCAACACUACCACCAUGAUGGGUCUGGAAUGCGAGGGACCACCGCUGACAACCCAAUCUGCAAACAUCGCAUCCAUGGUCCAUAACAAACUGAGCAGGCCACACAAACGCUUCACACCGCAUGGCCGCUGCCACACUAACCUGGUGGUCCCAGCGCGCACGACCCACCCGGAGUUCCAGGUCUCCGGCAGCCUCUGGAACUGCCGGUCUGCAGCCAACAAGGCAGAGUUCAUCUCAGCCUAUGCUACCCUCCAGUCCCUCGACUUCUUGGCGCUGACGGAAACAUGGAUUACCACAGAAAACACUGCUACUCCUACUGCUCUCUCCUCGUCUGACCAUGUGUUCUCGCAUACCCCGAGAGCAUCUGGUCAGAGGGGUGGUGACACUGGAAUCCUCAUCUCUCCCAAGUGGACAUUCUCUCUUUCUCCCCUGACCCAUCUGUCUAUCUCCUCCUUUGAAUUCCAUGCUGUCACAGUCACUAGCCCAUUCAAGCUUAACAUCCUUAUCAUUUAUCGCCCUCCAGGUUCCCUUGGAGAGUUCAUCAAUGAGCUUGACGCCUUGAUAAGUUCCUUUCCUGAGGAUGGCUCACCCCUCACAAUUCUGGGUGACUUUAACCUCCCUACGUCUACCUUUGACUCAUUUCUCUCUGCCUCCUUCUUUCCACUCCUCUCCUCUUUUGACCUCACCCUCUCACCCUCUCACCGUCCCCCCCUACUCACAAGGCAGGCAAUACGCUUGACCUCAUCUUUACUAGAUGCUGUUCUUCUACUAAUCUCACUGCAACUCCCCUCCAAGUCUUCGACCACUACCUUGUAUCCUUUUCCCUCUCGCUCUCCUCCAACACUACUCACUCUGCCCCUACUCAGAUGGUAUUGCGCCGUCGCAACCUUCGCUCUCUCUUUCCUGCUACUCUCUCCUCUUCCAUCCUAUCAUCUCUUCCCUCUGCUCAAUCCUUCUCCAACCAAUCUCCUGAUUCUGCCUCCUCAACCCUCCUCUCCUCCCUUUCUGCAUCCUUUGACUCUCUAUGUCCCCUAUCCUCCCGGCCGGCUCGGUCCUCCCCUCCUGCUCCGUGGCUUGACGACUCAUUGCGAGCUCACAGAACAAGGCUCCGGGCAGCCGAGCGGAAAUGGAGGAAAACUAGCCUCCCUGCGGACCUGGCAUCUUUUCACUCCCUCCUCUCCACAUUUUCUUCCUCUGUUUCUGCUGCAAAAGACACUUUCUACCACUCUAAAUUCCAAGCAUCUGCCUCUAACCCUAGGAAGCUCUUUGCCACCUUCUCCUCCCUCCUGAACCUCGGCAAGACGGAGCUGCUCUUCCUCCCGGGGAAGGACUGCCCGUUCCAUGAUCUCGCCAUCACGGUUGACAACUCCAUUGUGUCCUCCUCACAGAGUGCUAAGAGACUUGGCGUGACCCUGGACAACACCCUGUCGUUCUCCGCUAACAUCAAGGCGGUGACCCGAUCCUGUAGGUUCAUGCUCUACAACAUUUGCAGAGUACGACCCUGCCUUACACAGGAAGAGGCGCAGGUCCUAAUCCAGGCACUUGUCAUCUCCCGUCUGGAUUACUGCAACUCGCUGCUGGCGGGGCUCCCUGCCUGUGCCAUCAAACCCCUACAACUCAUCCAGAACGCUGCAGCCCGUCUGGUGUUCAACCUUCCCAAGUUCUCUCACGUCACCCCGCUCCUCCGCACACUCCACUGGCUUCCAGUUGAAGCUCGCAUCUGCUACAAGACCAUGAUGCCUGCCUAUGGAGCUGUGAGGGGAACGGCACCUCUGUACCUUCAGGCUCUGAUCAGUCCCUACACCCAAAGAAGGGCACUGCAUUCAUCCACCUCUGGCCUGCUCGCCUCCCUACCUCUGCGAUAGCACAGUUCCCGCUCAGCCCAGUCAAAACUGUUCGCUGCUCUGGCACCCCAAUGGUGGAACAAGCUCCCUCACGAUGCCAGGACAGCGGAGUCAAUCACCACCUUCCGGAGACACCUGAAACCCCACCUCUUUAAGGAAUACCUGGGACAGGAUAAAGUAAUCCUUCUAACCCUCCCCCCUACCCUCCCCCCCAAAAAAUAUAUAGAUGUACUAUUGUAAAGUGGUUGUUCCACUGGAUAUCAUAAGGUGAAUGCACCAAUUUGUAAGUCGCUCUGGAUAAGAGCGUCUGCUAAAUGACGUAAAUGUAAAUGUUAUGGCUUGGGGGGGUAGAAGCUUUUCAGGAGUCUUAUGGCUUGGGGGGGUAGAAGCUGUUAAGAAGCCUUUUUGGACUCCGGUAACGCUUGCCGUGCGGUAACAGAGAGAACAGUCUAUAACUAGCGUGGCGGGAGUCUUUGACAAUUUUUAGGACCUUCCUCUGACACCGCCUGGUAUAGAGGUCCUGGAUGGCGGGAAGCUUGGCCCCAGUGAUGUACUGGGCUGUACGCACUACCCUCUGUAGUGCCUUGAGAUUUUGCCAUACCAGGCAGUGAUGCAACUAGUCAGGAUGCUCUUGAUGGUGCAGCUGUAGAAACUUUUGAGGAUCUGAGGACCUAUGCCAAAUCUUGUCAGUCUCGUGAGGGGGAAUAGGCUUUGUCGUGCCCUCUUCACGACUGUCUUAGUGUGUUUGGACCAUGACAGUUUGUUGGUGAUGUGGACACCAAGGAACUUGAAGUUCUCAACCUACUCCACUGCAGCCCCAUUUUCCUGUAGUCCACAAUCAUCUCCUUUGUCUUGAUCAUGUUGAGGGAGAGGUUGUUGUCCUGGCACCACAUGGCCAGGUCUCUGACCUCCUCCCUAUAGGCUGUCUCAUCAUUGUUGGUGAUCAGGCCUACUGUGUCAUUGGCAAACUUGAUGGUGUUGGAGUCGUGCCUGGCCAUGCAGUUGUAGGUGAACAGGGAGUACAGGAGGGGACUGAGCACGCACCCCGGAGGGGCCCCCGUGCUGAGGAUCAGUGUGGCUGAUGUGUUGUUACCUACCCUUACCACCUGGGGGCGGCCCGUCAGGAAGUCCAGCAUCCAGUUGCAGAGGGAGGUGUUUAGUCCCAGGGUCCUUAGCUUAGUGAUGAGCUUUGAGGGCGCUAUGGUGUUGAACGCUGAGUUGUAGUCAAUGAAUAGCAUUCUCACAUAGGUGUUCCUUUUUGUCCAGGAGGGAAAGGGCAGUGUUGAGUGCAAUAGAGAUUGCAUCGUCUGUGGAUAUGUCGGGGCGGUAUGCAAAUUGGAGUGGGUCUAGUGUUUCUGGAAUAAUGGUAUUGAUGUGAGCCAUGACCAGCUUUUCAAAGCACUUCAUGGCUACAAAUGUGAGUGCUACGGGUCGGUAGUCAUUUAGGCAGGUUACCGUAGUGUUCUUGGGCACAGGGACUAUGGUGGUCUGCUUGAAACAUGUUGGUAUUACAGACUCAGUCAGGGACAGGUUGACAAUGUCAGUGAAGACACUUGCCAGUUGGUCAGCACAUGCUCGGAGUACACGUCCUGGUAAUCCGUCUGGCCCUGCGGCCUUGUGAAUAUUGACCUGCUUAAAGGUCUUACUCACAUCGGCUACAGAGAGCGUGAUCACAGCGUCAUCCAGAACAGCUGGUGCUCUCAUGCAUGUUUCAGUGUUACUUGCCUCGAAGCGUGCAUAGAAGUAAUUUAGCUCGUCUGGUAGGUUUGGGUCACUGGGCAGCUCGUGCCUUUGCUUCCCUUUGAAGUCUGUAAUAGUUUGCAAGCCCUGCCACAUCCAACAAGCGUCAGAGCCGGUGUAGUAUGAUUCAAUCUUAGUCCUGUAUUGAUGCACAAUUGGUUAAGGUAUCGUAAAACAGAGGCCAUCUCCUUCGACGCCAUUACACUUACAUUACGCAGCAGGUAAGGAGAAUGAGGUUAAACUCAAAUCAAUCAAAUUUAUUUUUAUAUAGCCCUUCGUACAUCAGCUGAUAUUCUCAAAGUGCUGUACAGAAACCCAGCCUAAAACCCCAAACAGCAAGCAAAGCAUGUGAAAGAAGCACGGUGGCUAGGAAAAACUCCCUAGAAAGGCCAAAAACCUAGGAAGAAACCUAGAGAGGAACCAGGCUAUGAGGGGUGGCCAGUCCUCUUCUGGCUGUGCAGGGUGGAUAUUAUAACAGAACAUGGUCAAAAUGUUAAAAUGUUAAUAAAUGACCAGCAUGGUCAAAUAAUAAUAAUCAUAGUAGUUGUCGAGGGUGCAACAAGCACGUCCGGUGAACAGGUCAGGGUUCCAUAGCCGCAGGCAGAACAGUUGAAACUGGAGCAGCAGCACGGCCAGGUGGACUGGGGACAGCAAGGAGUCAUCAUACCAGGUAGUCCUGAGGCAUGGUCCUAGGGCUCAGGUCCUCCGAGAGAAAGACAGAAAGAGAGAAAGAGAGAAUUAGAGAGAGCAUAUUUAAAUUCACACAGGACACCGGAUAAGACAAGAGAAAUACUCCAGAUGUAACAGACUGACCCUAGCCCCCGACACAUAAACUACUGCAGCAUAAAUACUGGAGGCUGAGACAGGAGGGAUCAGAAGACACUGGCCCCAUCCGAUGAUACCCCCGGACAGGGCCAAACAGGCAGGAUAUAACCCCACCCACUUUGCCAAAGCACAGCCCCCACACCACUAGAGGGAUGUCUCCAACCACCAACUUACCGUCCUAAGACAAGGCCGAGUAUAGCCCACAACGAUCUCCGCCAUGGCACAACCCAAGGGGGGGCGCCAACCCAGACAGGAAGACCACGUCAGUGACUCAACCCACUCAAGUGACGCACCCCUCCCAUGGACGGCAUGGAAGAACACCAGUAGGCCAGUGACUCAGCCCCUGUAAAAGGGUUAGAGGCAGAGAAUCCCAGUGGAAAGAGGGGAACAGGCAAGGCAGAGACAGCAAGGGCGGUUCGUUGCUCCAGCCUUUCCGUUCACCUUCACACUCCUGGGCCAGACUAUACUUAAUCAUAGGACCUACUGAAGAGAUAAGUCUUCAGUAAAGACUUAAAGGUUGAGACUGAGUCUGCGUCUCUCACAUUGGUAGGCAGACCAUUCCAUAAAAAUGGAGCUCUAUAGGAGAAAGGCCUACCUCCAGCCGUUUGCUUAGAAAUUCUAGGGACAAUUAGGAGGCCUGCGUCUUGUGACCGUAGCGUACGUGUAGGUAUGUACGGCA